GUUUCUGACAGAGAAACAGAACAUUCAGUCCUUCUAUUCCUUCAGUUAAGGUAUGAAACUCUAUAAUGCACAUCUGUGAGACCCCUUCAGUUUACCAGAAAAUCUAGGGAAGCCUAAACUUGACAUUCCUAAGGUUAAGCGUUGACUGAGCUCGCAGCAGUAGGCCUCCCCUUCCUCAGAUGAAAGGACAAAUCAGAAGGUACCUAUUACAUGUCUGGGAGGAAAGAAACAAAGGCCCAUGACGCUGAUACCACUCCACUCACUUGGAUUUUAAUGGUGCUGAUGUACUCUUGUUCUGUUCCUCCUCAUCUUUCAGACUUCAGUAGGUCUAUGAAGUCUGGGCUCAGCCAGGAAAACAAACAGUGUGUUGCUUAGUGGAAAAUGACCAGCGCAAACUGCUUGUGAAGCUUCCCAGCCAAGAACUCUGUGUACCCUCCAUUUCUACAGGUGUGGAAAUGCUGUGCAGAUGAGAUCUAUUUCUCUCUGACAGUUAACACACAAACUCUGAAAGAUUUUGUUGCUGGGCACUGAACCCUUUCAUCAAACAGUAUAGAUGCCUAGACAGAGAAGAUUUCAAAGAACAAAUGCUUGUGUUUGGGAAUUUGGAUGAAUCUCAAGCUUGUGGUUCUGCAACAAGGGCAUAGGAAUAGCCAACCCAGAAAAGGCUAUGCUUAGUUUCACAAUAGCAAACAACAAAAACUAGCCGAUGCAAGUGAUCAACGUGCAAUUUGGGAUAAAACUCCAACCAGCAGAGGAAAAAACAGGAAAGAUAUUCCCCUUGAAAGAGAUUGCUAGUGGUGUCUGAGAUUCCCAAAUUAAGUCUCUGGUGGUGAAGAUAUGAGAAAGGUGAAGUAAACAAAAUUUAAAGGUCCAUUAGAAGAAGAAAUAUAAUAGACAGGAACACUAACAGACAUGCAUAAGUGCAUAACAUAUAUAUUUAUUGCAUCAGAUUCAAGUAUAAUAUCUAAUACGGCACAGAAUACAGUAUAUAAAAUGUAUGUAUUUUUAGCCUUUUUAUAGCUUUUUCCUCUUACCUUCCAGAGUCAGUUGAUUUUCAGACCCUUAUCUCACACAAGGAGAUGAAAUGUUGCCUCUUGCCACUUGAUCUAAGCACUUACCGUCGUUCCGUUCCAGUGGAUGUGUUUAUAUCACAACAGCUGGCACUCAUUGGCAUCCUUGGAUCUCAGCAGAUCAUCCAAGGAUUGAAAGGGCCGAGGUGCCUGACCAUUCUUUCAUCCUUAGUAGUGGUCCCUCCAGGACAGGAUUGAGACAUCUUGGUGGGGCAGAAUAGGGAAGCUUGUACUGCUGUUAGCUACCCAUGCAGCAUCUGCUCUGUGGAUAGAAAACAUCAGACUCUAGACAGCUUCUCAUGAGGUAUCUGGAACCCAACACACACAAGAAAAAGGAAAACUGCCCUGCAAGUGCACUGUCCUUGCUACUACUUACUCUACAGCUAACUUGAAUGCAAGAAUUUCAUUGGUGACUGCACGGAUGUGUUUUUCCUUCGACAACCCUGACAAGAUGAUGACAAGAAUCGUGCCAACUCAUAGUCCAGCAAUAUAUUCCCUGCCAACAUCACUACUAUGCUUGCUGUUAUAUUCAAAGAAGAUAGUACGUGCUUUUCUCUGAACUGAGUUUCAUCUACAGAAAUUAACCAGAAGGUGUCGGGUGCAGCUGCUGCGUAACCACCCACCAAAGGAUUUAUCAAGUCAGCUGGAGGUAACGCCCUCUCUGUCUCUGGCAGGUAGUUGAUCCUGCACAGUACAUCAGUUCAGUUCUGGGAGUGGGACUGUGCUGGUUUUGUGAUGUAAAUCACUGGACGCUGAACUGGAAGCACAUUGCACUUUGGACCUUUGGGCAUCCACAGAUGUAUAGUCUCUCGGGAGUCAUCUGGCUGCAUGUGAUUUUAUACAUCUGUCAGCUUCAUCAAGUAUCCUAAUGCAAAAUCCAGCAUUCAGCGACAUUAUGUGGCUUUGUGAUGCUCCCUGGGAGACUUCAGAUCCAUAAACCAGUGAAUGGAUUACAAUGAGAUAUAAAUACAGUAUUUUCAUGGAUGGCCUAGAAUCCAGCUCUAUUAUUAUUCUUUUUAUGUAAAGAGAAACUGGUACCCAUUUUUCUCUACCCAGAACUCUGAAUCUUUUGCAUCAGAAUCUACUGCUGUGAACAACCACACCAAUCAAAUUUGCAACAACGUUCAGGAGUAAACUCCUGCGUCUCUUCCCUCUCCUCUCUCCCUCACAGUAUGAAUAAACCAAGGCAUGGAAAGGUUGAGUAACUGGCCAAAGUCUCACAGAAGACCAAUGACAACCCAAAUAGGACUCAAUCCCCAGCUCUAAGGCCUGGUCUACACUACGAGUUUGUCGGAUUUAGCAGCGUUAAAUCGAAUUAACCCUGCACCUGUCCACACAACGAAGCCAUUUUUUUUGACAUAAAGCGCUCUUAAAACCGA